ACCCGCUGAACUUAAGCAUAUCAAUAAGCGGAGGAAAAGAAACUAACAAGGAUUCCCCUAGUAACGGCGAGUGAAGCGGGAACAGCUCAAAUUUGAAAUCUCAUGGGGUCACCCGUGCGAAUUGUAGUUUAGAGAAACGUUUUCGGGUGAAGCCUGGGCAUAAGUCCUUUGGAACGAGGCAUCAUAGAGGGUGAGAAUCCCGUCUUUGGCUCAGUGUCUUCAUCUGUGUGAUACGUUUUCUACGAGUCGGUUUGUUUGGGAAUGCAGACCAAAAUGGGUGGUAAAUACCAUCUAAAGCUAAAUAUUGGCGAGAGACCGAUAGCGAACAAGUACCGUGAGGGAAAGAUGAAAAGAACCUUGAAAAGAGAGUUAAACAGUACGUGAAAUUGUCAAAAGGGAAACGCUUGGAACCAGUAUUGCUUGCAGGUAAUCAGCCGUGCCUUCAGCGCGGUGCACUUGCCUGUUGGCAGGUCAACAUCAGUUUGACUUGGGGUAAAAAGCCGGAGGAAGGUGGCCAGGAGUUCGCUCUUGGUGUUAUAGCCUCCGGUCAUGCCUUGGGUUGGACUGAGGACUGCAGCGUUUUUUGGGUACCCAGUCGCCUCCUG
rnacentral:rRNA from 1 species